AGCCUCAGCUGCCUCUUUGGGGCUUUAUUUUGGUCUGUUUAUCUGGAAAAAGCAGCGAGGCCUCAAAUAAGAAUUUUCGUGGCUAGAUGGGUAAGCCGUGACCCCAGUUGUCUUUGCCUUGCUUUGCUGCUUAAUGUCGUAACAGCAACUCAGGACCCUGGAAUAAAAACUGUUACAGUGCUUAAGGGAGGAUCUGCGUUUGCCUGGGUUAGGGGACCAUUGUUAAAGCUUUGUGGGGGGGGGGGGAAUGGAGCUCCAAAAGGAGACUCUGCCGGUGACCUUGGUGGUUUGAUUCAUUUGCAGGCUAACGUUCUGAGGGCCGGCAACUUGAAGAGGAGCAGCUCAGCCCGUUUUGUUGAUUUCGGUGAUACUGUUUUAAGGAAGCACCGACAGAUUGGCUGUGGAGUUUCCCUGAAGAGGGUCAUCUACCAAAGGCUGGAGGUGGCCAGGUGCCUGAGCGAGCCUGACUGUACGCGAGGGUUGCUGUGACAUCCUUGCGAUGAAAUGGAGCCAGAGAGGGUGACUGAAGCAACACAGAAGGUGGCUGAAGCAUAGUCCAGCAGUCAAAUGAGCAUUGUCACAGCUGGGAGCUCUGUGGAGAUCUGCGGCCAUCCAUGGAGGACGAGCUCUGACUUGCAGCGUGGACACAGCUAAGUCCUGGGGCUGCAUUGUAUGCGAGCAGGGCUGGGAGGUGGAAGGUGGUUUUGCCCUCGGUGGUUACUGGUGUCAUUGGCUGUGGAUGUUUGCCCAUGGAGCUGAGAGAACCAAAAAUAUUAAUUGUCUGUAACAGAGAUGAAUUAGUGCUUGCGGUGUUUCAGGUAGGUUCAGUGGAAGUGCAGCUUAGUGCAGUCCUGUGGCGUGAUUCUUGCACRUGCUCGCGUUUGAAUGAUGGCUAAAACCAAGCCUAUAAACAGCAACUGUAAUAUGAUUCUGGUGCGUGUCUUCCUUCUAAAUGAAGGGGAAACUUCUUAAGCUGUGGGCAAAACCCCAUGGCUUCUCUGUACUGUUCUCAUGCUCAUGGGUGCUUUGGUGUUUCUUGCUUAAAGUGGAGGGUUUGAAGUUUUUCACUUAAGGUUUAUUGCUUAGUUUGUUGUUGAGGGUUUGUCACUCAGGGGUUAUGGUGUAUUACUUUAUUUUGUGGGGCUCCGUCUUUAUCAGUCAGAGUUUACAGUUUGUUCAUUUAGCGAUCAGGGCACAGAAUUUAAAAUCCAACCUCAUUCAUAAAUUUUAAAGCUUUGGCAACCAUUUGCAUUCCAAGAUUUUCAGUUUGUCACUUAGGGUGCAGGGUUUACAGCUUACUGAUAAACAAAAAGGGCUAAAUCCUCGGAUAAUAAACUGUAAGCCCUGAAGCCUAAGCA
rnacentral:lncRNA from 1 species